rnacentral:rRNA from 1 species
CGAACGCUGGCGGUGCGCCUUAUGCAUGCAAGUCGAGCGAAGCUUUUCAGUAGUUUACUACUGAAAAUGACUGAGCGGCGAACGGGUGAGUAACGCGUGAGCAACCUACCUUAGUUACUGGGAUAGCCCGAGGAAACUCGGAUUAAUACCGGAUAUUCUUAUUUAAUCGCAUGAUUUUUUAAGGAAAGGUCAGCCGAAAUAAGAUGGGCUCGCGUUCUAUCAGCUAGUUGGUAGGGUAAUAGCCUACCAAGGCUACGACGGAUAGCUGGUCUGAGAGGACGAUCAGCCACACUGGGACUGAGACACGGCCCAGACUCCUACGGGAGGCUGCAGCAGGGAAUAUUGCGCAAUGAGCGAAAGCUUGACGCAGCGACACCGCGUGUGGGAUGACGGAUCUAGGUUUGUAAACCACUUUCAGGAGGGAAGAAAAUGACGGUACCUCCACAAGAAGCCCCGGCCAACUACGUGCC